rnacentral:rRNA from 1 species
CACCGAAGCUGCGGCAGCGAACGUAUCACCCAAGACAACUUUACGGAGUUGACGAUUGACGGAGCGAAGCGACGUCAAAGCGUUCAUUAAAGUCGAGUUGGCUUAGGGAUACGUUCGUUGGGUAGGGGAGCGUUCUGUAAGCCUGUGAAGGUGUGUCGUGAGGCAUGCUGGAGGUAUCAGAAGUGCGAAUGCUGACAUAAGUAACGAUAAAGCGGGUGAAAAGCCCGCUCGCCGGAAGACCAAGGGUUCCUGUCCAACGUUAAUCGGGGCAGGGUGAGUCGACCCCUAAGGCGAGGCCGAAAGGCGUAGUCGAUGGGAAACGGGUUAAUAUUCCCGUACUUGGUGUUACUGCGAAGGGGGGACGGAGAAGGCUAUGUUGGCCGGGCGACGGUUGUCCCGGUUUAAGCGUGUAGGUGUGUGUUCCAGGUAAAUCCGGUUCACUUUAACACUGAGGCGUGACGACGAGGCACUACGGUGCUG